AGUAAGGUCCUGUAACCUACCAGCCAUCAGCAGUAAGGUCCUGUAACCUACCAGCCAUCAGCAGUAAGGUCCUGUAACCUACCAGCCAUCAGUAAGGUCCUGUAACCUACCAGCCAUCAGUAAGGUCCUGUAACCUACCAGCCAUCAGUAAGGUCCUGUAACCUACCAGCCAUCAUCAGUAAGGUCCUGUAACCUACCAGCCAUCAUCAGUAAGGCCCUGUAACCUACCAGCCAUCAGCAGUAAGGUCCUGUAACCUACCAGCAGUAAGGUCCUGUAACCUACCAGCCAUCAUCAGUAAGGUCCUGUAACCUACCAGCCAUCAGCAGUAAGGUCCUGUAACCUACCAGCC